GUCUACAGCCAUACCACCCUGAAUGCGCCUUAUCUCAUCUGACCUCAGAAGCUAAGCAGGGUCAUGCCUGGUUAGUACUUGGAUGGGAAAGUGUUUUGAGUCCUCAAGCCUUAGCAUCAGACACCCCUGUAGCCA
rnacentral:rRNA from 1 species